AUAUUGAGAAGUCAUCCAUAAACCUCUUGGAAGGGACGUACACAGUUAUACAAGCAUUGAAGAACACUCGCCCAAACCUAAAUAAAUGGAGAGAAGUGCUUAAGCAUAAUGAUAGCCUAUUCCCAUGCUCAGAUAAAUACGGUAAUUUGUUGCACUCCACCCCCGUGUUCUCCUUGUUUAGAUUUUCUAUCAUAAUAAUCAUUGCGGACAAGUCUGCACAAAAUACUAUAUAGAUCCAUCAGUUGUCAGAGUGGGCUGCAUAUCUAUCAAGAGGAGUGCAUGAAGAUGGGCCAUGGAUCACUAGAAUGCCAACAAAUAUACUGGAAGAUGUGUCUGUUACCCUUUGGUUUCACUGUAAUAUGGUUCUUUUCAAGGAUCAUCCUCCUCAACAAUGAUGGUUCCACGUCAAGAUUACUCAGGCACGAAGUGAAAGGUGGAUCCCGUGUCGUUAAAGAAAUGCAGAACUAAUCCUUUCAAUUUAUUAAAGAUGGAUUAUGUCACAAGUAAGUAUAAUGGAUGUCCUAUAUUGAACAAGAAUCAAGACUUCAGAUAACAUUUAAUCCGAUGGCUCAGAUCAUAUUGAUUACUGCUAGUGACGCUCUGGAGAAGCUGCCGCAUUCAAAGUAGGGGAUUAUCAUGUUCAGUUGUGAAGGACCAAGUCAGAUGGGAAGAGCAAACGAAGCAAGAGGAUGCCCUGGACUAAUCCCUUCUGAACAUAGUCCUCUCCAUGUUAUUCACAUAACAACAAUGGUAUACAUAUUUUUUUUAAAAAUAAAUUGUGUCAAUCUUAUACAAAGUGACAUAGAUGUUCUGUGUUAAACUAAUAGCCUGAUCUCAAUUUUAUUUGUAGCUUCAAAUUGUCUUUUGCAAGUUUGAAAUUUGUCUUAACUGUCUUUUAUCUU